GAGAGCUUGCUCUCUGGGUGGCGAGUGGCGGACGGGUGAGGAAUACAUCGGAAUCUACCUAGUCGUGGGGGAUAACGUAGGGAAACUUACGCUAAUACCGCAUACGACCUUCGGGUGAAAGUGGGGGACCUUCGGGCCUCACGCGAUUAGAUGAGCCGAUGUCGGAUUAGCUAGUUGGAGGGGUAAUGGCCCACCAAGGCGACGAUCCGUAGCUGGUCUGAGAGGAUGAUCAGCCACACUGGAACUGAGACACGGUCCAGACUCCUACGGGAGGCAGCAGUGGGGAAUAUUGGACAAUGGGCGCAAGCCUGAUCCAGCCAUACCGCGUGGGCGAAGAAGGCCUUCGGGUUGUAAAGCCCUUUUGUUGGGAAAGAAAUCCCAUUGAUUAAUACUCGGUGGGGAUGACGGUACCCAAAGAAUAAGCACCGGCUAACUUCGUGCCAGCAGCCGCGGUAAUACGAAGGGUGCAAGCGUUACUCGGAAUUACUGGGCGUAAAGCGUGCGUAGGUGGUUGUUUAAGUCUGCUGUGAAAGCCCUGGGCUCAACCUGGGAAUUGCAGUGGAUACUGGGCGACUAGAGUGUGGUAGAGGAUAGUGGAAUUUCCGGUGUAGCAGUGAAAUGCGUAGAGAUCGGAAGGAACAUCUGUGGCGAAGGCGACUAUCUGGGCCAACACUGACACUGGGGCACGAAAGCGUGGGGAGCAAACAGGAUUAGAUACCCUGGUAGUCCACGCCCUAAACGAUGCGAACUGGAUGUUGGGUUCAACUUGGAACCCAGUAUCGAAGCUAACGCGUUAAGUUCGCCGCCUGGGGAGUACGGUCGCAAGACUGAAACUCAAAGGAAUUGACGGGGGCCCGCACAAGCGGUGGAGUAUGUGGUUUAAUUCGAUGCAACGCGAAGAACCUUACCU
rnacentral:rRNA from 1 species